AGUGAGAUGGUAUUACAGCAAAAGAAUUGUCCGUUUAUUUUGUGAUGCUAUAUAUAAGGUGCUGUGAUUUUACAAUCAAAAUGUAUUUAUUUAUUUUGACAUAUUAAUCUUGUCAGUGUCAAAAGGGGUAGCAAACGUUGUUAAACAUAAGCCCAGCCAUCAAAGAAUGAUCAACUAUACACAUGGUAACGCCACAGAAAACUAGAUAGAAAGAGAAAAAAUGACGACAUAUUUGGAUAAUUAGAUCUUGUAUGUUGUGAAAUAGCUUUUUAAUUUCAAUAUUUAGAGUUCUUGAG